rnacentral:lncRNA from 1 species
GGGUGACAGAGAGAGAGAAAACAGAGCCUGGGCGUGUGUGUGUAUGUGUAUGUGUGUGGAGAAAAGGUGACGGAGAGAGCAAGAGAACGGAGCCUGGGCGUGUGUGUGCGUUUGGCUGUGUGACUGCGUGACUCUGUGCAAGAGAGACUGUGUGUGUGUGUGUGUGUGUGUGUGUGUGUGUGUGUCGCUCCAGGAGCAAGCUGUACCUUAAAGCCAUAGACCCCGCCUCGGCCCUGCUCCCCUCCACUUCCACCCCCAGCCAGAACCACCUCCCACCACAUCAGCUGGGAACCAGAGCUGGGCCUGGCCAGGGUGACUCCCGCUUGGCCUGAGGGGACAGAAGCAGCCCCAGCCCUCUCAGGCACCCCCUGCAUGGCUGAGGCUUGAGAGCUCAGAAAUGGGUCCUACUGGAGGAAGGAGAAAGGGGCUUUAUUCCUGAGGAAGGGCAGCCACAGAGCUGUGCCGCAGUCACGAUGGAGACCAUGAGGUUCUGGGUCCCAUGAUGGGCAUCAUUUGAUGAGAAGAUGCCGCGAUCCAGGAAGAGGAUGAGAAAUUACCAGCCCUGAACCCUCCCGGCCCGAACCCAGAGCCAGAAAAAGUAGUAUGCGCUGAAGUGUCCAUAGAAAGCUCCUGGUCCAACUCCUCCAUUUCACAGUUGGGGAAACUGAGGCUGGAAGGGGGAGGAUGGAGGUGGUGAUUUGCCCGAUAUGCCCGAGGAGUGAGAGCCCAAGCCAGGACUGGAGCCCGGUCCCCUGGCCCCAGCCUCCAGCUACCAGGCAGAGCCCGGGUCGCCUAGGGAGCAGCGGGCGCCAGGAGGCCGGGAGGAGGCGGAGGAGCGGGGGCGCGCCCGGCCGCCCCGGCCCCGCGGGCCCCUUCCGGCCCCUCCCCCAGCCUGCGCACCGUCCCGCCACCUGCUCCCCGGUCCGCUGGGGCGGGGCCGCCGCCCCCCGUCUCCAUGGCAACGCGCGGCCCGGCCGGCCGCCCUGGCCUCGCUGCCGCCGCGCAGCCCAUCUGGCCCCAAGCCCGCCCCAGCUGGACCGCCCGAGGCCCCGUCGGCCGGGGGCCCCCACAGCCCCGCGGCGCCCGAGAGCAAGGCAGGAGCGCCGGGCGUCGGGCACCAGCGAUGCCAGCACCUGGGCUGGCUGCGAGGCUCAUCCCGAUGGAUCAGAAGCUGUGCUGCCCUCCCGGAUCCCCGAGUCUAGAGAGUAUCCUCCCCCCCCCCACACCCCCCCCCACCCAGCACAUUCGCUCAGGGCGGCAGGAGGAGCUCUCAGGAUUGGAGGCGAGCUCUCUGGAGCCAGCCACCCUGGAGGCGAAUCCCCAAGGAGGGUGACCCUGGGCAAUUUACUUAAGCUUUUACCCGUCUGAAAAAUGGAGGCGAGCACAGAACCUGGCUCUCUGGGUGGUUGUGAGGGUUAAAUGGGUCAAUAAAGAAAAAUACAUGGAGUGAGCACGCAAUAAGUAUCAGCUAUUAU